AUUGAACGCUGGCGGCAGGCCUAACACCUGCAAGUCGCGCGGAGCGUCGGACGGGUGAGUCAUGCCUAGGCAUCUGCCUGUUAGUGGGGUAUAACUUCCGGAAACGUGCGCUACUACCGCAUCCUUUCAGAUCAGCCUAGGUCGGAUUAGCUAGUUGGUGGGGUAAAGGCCUACCAAGUCGACGAUCCGUCACUGGUCUGAGAGGAUGAUCCGUCACACUGGAACUGAGACACGGUCCAGACUCCGACGGGAGGCAGCAGUGGGGAAUAUUGGACAAUGGGCGAAAGCCUGAUCCAGCCAUGCCGCGUGUGUGAAGAAGGUCUUCGGAUUGUAAAGCACUUUAAGUUGGGAGGCGUUACCAACAGAAUAAGCACCGGCUAACUUCGUGCCAGCCGCCGCGGUAAGUC
rnacentral:rRNA from 1 species